AUGACUCUCUGUUUGAAUGUAUACUGCCAGGUCAAAUGCUGUGCAGGUGUGUGCGAAGGAGGGAGAGAAAAUAGCAGAGGAAGAGGAAAGUGUGGAGGCAAAGAAUGACACUAACUGGAUGCCUGCAGAGUUGGAGAGCCAUCUUCCUGCGUCGUGUAAUUAGAAAUGCAAAGGUUACAGCCGACCUACUCGCAUGCAUGUGGUCGCCUGCGAACGACCCAGAUCUCUUGCCUUGUCAUCAGGCACCAUUAUAUGGCUCCUUUUCAGGCUCCUUAAAGUCUGUUCCUUCAACACAGAUACUCAAACAGCAGUGUUCAGCUCAAGCUGUUUACCAGGGAUCUUCUGGAGCGCCGAUUGGAGUCCCAGGCUUAGCCCUUUUUUUGUGCAAUAAAUCAGAAAGUCAUGUUAACGUCCAGCGACCGGCUUAUAACUUGUCACCGAAUCACAUUAAUCAUGUUUAUCAAUAGAAUUUUGCCUGUGAAUUAUUAAAAGGAUGGCUCUGGUGAUACGGCUCUCACUGAGCUUAAUCACUCAUUAUAAUCCACAGUGGAUAAAAUAUUCACCAGCGCUCAUAGAGAGAGCUCCCUUGUAAAGACCUUAUCACCUCGUAUCCGGGAAAUCGAUAUUCACACAGUAUCGGAUAAGCAUAUAUAUAUAAAAAAAGAAAAAAAAAGAAAAAAGAAAAAGAUGUAGGCUGUUUGAAAGGCAGUAGCCUUUAGAAAGAAAAAUAAUUCAGUUUAUGACAUAAUAAAGCAAGAAGCAGAUUUAGUAAGUUCAAAGAUAAAAACCAAGAUACAAGAUUUCAUUCAAACUAAAUUUGACAGAUAAUCUCAAAUAUGGGGACAAUCCAACCAUUUUAGACUGAAGAUUACAGUGUAGUGUGGGAAUGAUGGCGCACACGUUACAGUGUGUUAUUAGAGAGUGUGGAUGUGAAUGCCGGUGGAGUUCUGGAUCUUAUCAGGGCGGUGUAAACAUAUUUUGUGUGUUUUUCCUUUGCUGCGGUGCUGAUAAAGAGAUGGGCGUCGGUCCAGCACUGACAGAGAGGCUCUCUCAGGUUACCGUGGUGCUCCUCUGCUGUCGACGCCGCCGCAUCUCCUGCAAACG